rnacentral:rRNA from 1 species
CAGCCGCCGCGGUAAUACGAAGGGGGCUAGCGUUGUUCGGAAUUACUGGGCGUAAAGCGCACGUAGGCGGAUAUUUAAGUCAGGGGUGAAAUCCCGCAGCUCAACUGCGGAACUGCCUUUGAUACUGGGUAUCUUGAGUAUGGAAGAGGUAAGUGGAAUUCCGAGUGUAGAGGUGAAAUUCGUAGAUAUUCGCAAGAGCACCAGUGGCGAAGGCGGCUUACUGGUCCGGUACUGACGCUGAGGUGCGAAAGCGUGGGGAGCAAACAGGAUUAGAUACCCGCGUAGUCCCUGUCUCUUAUAA